GAGGUCAGGGCGGCGCCGGUCCCGGCCCGGUCCCGGUCCCGGUCCCGGCCCGCUGAUGGCGGCCCGGCGGCUCCGCGGCGCCCUCCAGCUCGGGGCGCGGCAGCGCCUGCGGACGGCGGCGGCCCCGCCCGGCAGGUGAGCGGCGGCGGCCCGGAGGUCACACCGGGGACACCGGGGCGGGCACCGGGAGGCGCUCGUGCUGCGGGGGCUCCUCCGGGCCUGGCCGCGCUGCCAGCCCCCGUGAGGUGCGGUGGGCCCGGGGCCCUUGUGGGAACCGGGGGGUCCCGGCGGGGCCGUCCCGGUGAUCCCGGGGCUCCCGGUGAUCCCGGGGCUGCGGGGACCCGGCGGUGCCGCUGGCCCGGUUGGCCGCUGGGCGGGGAACGCUGGCUGGGGGGGUCUGACCUUGGAGCGAACCCCGCGCGGGGACACCGGGAGCGCGCCGGUGCCGCCGCCGCCCGCGGGGGAACCGAGCCCCGGCGGGGUCACCCCGGUGUCACCGGGGACGGGACAGCCACCCGCGGCACUGACCUCUGCGACACGGGGACACGAGCGGGACCGGCCGCCCCGGUGGCUCCGGUGGCACCGGGGGGACAAUUUCCGUGGGAAAGUCGCGAUCUGCCCCCGGGAGCGACACCGGAGGGACGGGACGGGACCGGGAGAGGCCGGGAAGGGUCCGGGAGCGGUGGGAAAGGGACCCGGGAUGGGCUGGGAGGGACAGAGAGGGACCAAAAAGGGACAGAGAGUGACCAGAGAGGGACAGGGAUGGUCAGGAAGGGACCUGGAAGGUCUGGAAGGGACCUGGAGUGGCCAAAAAGGAACCGGGAGUGGUUGGAAAAGGACCCGAGAUGGGCUGGAAGGGGCUUGGGAUGGGCUGAAGGGACAGGGAGUGGCCAAAAAGGGACAGGGAUGGUUUGGAAGGGCUUGGGGUGGGUUGGAAGGGGUUUGGGAAGGUCAGGAAGGGACCUGGGAUGGGUUGGAAUGAUCUGGAGUGGCCAAGGAGGGACUGGAAGUGGUUGGAAAGGGACCUGGGAUGGUCAGGAAGAGACCUGGGAUGGUUUGGAAGGGGCUUGGGAAGUUCAGGAAGGGCCCUGGAAGUUCUGGGAGGGAGCUGGGCCGGUCCAGAAAGGAGCAGGGAAGGGCUGGAGGGCACCCAGGGCAGGUGGGAAUGGGCUUGGGAUGGUCUGGAGGGAUUUGGGAAGCCCUGGAAGGGAUGUGGGAAGCUUUGAGGGGCCUGUGAGGUUCUGGAAAGGACCUGGGAAGCUCUGGAGGGAUUUGGGAAACUCUGAGGGGCCUGGGAAGCUGUGA
rnacentral:lncRNA from 1 species